CUGCUGGGGCUCUCAGCUUCUGGAGGACUAGGCCUUCUGAGGUUACGGAGCUCCGAGAUACCUGGGCAGGGCUGGCUGUGGUGACUGCGGUGGGACUUAGUGGGAUCUCGACUCGGAAGCCGGUCGGCGCGAUCCUUGCAUACUUAGCUGCAGCAGGUUGCAGUCGUCCCACUCUCCUUCGACCGGUUCCCUAGUUGGGGGCAGAGCAGGAGAUUCUGCCCGCGUCCUGCCUGGCCUGGGGUGACUGUCUCCUUCUCAUUCCCGGUGACUCACUCAGAUCAUGUCCACUUAUAAUGCAAAGGCUUAUGGGUGAGCAGGGCCUGUUUUCAGUCUCCUAGUUCUCUGGCUCCGUCCGCACUUGCGGCAAUUACUUGAAGAAAGAGUAUGUUAGAUGUAUGUUUUGAAAUUUUCGUAGCAGCUAACGCGUGGAGACGUGCAGUUAUGUUGCGUUUACCCUUCAUGAGUUUUAGUUUCAGCUGUGGCGUCCUGAUAUCUCAGUGUGGUUCCUGAAUUUGGAGCUUUUGAAAUGAAUGAAAUCCUGCCAAUUUCCUGCAGUCAUUCAUUCAUACAUUCCAAACUUUUUUGAUGGAUUCCUUAAUGGUCAGCCUCAUACCAGGUUCUAGUAUCCCUGAAACCAUCGUGGCUCUGAG
rnacentral:lncRNA from 1 species